UGUAUGCUCAUGGUAUCGACCUCGAAGGGUGUUUCGACGCCGUUAACCUUGAUAACCUCGAUCUGGUUCGUACGAUCCACCGUGACUAUAUCAACGCCGGUGCUGAACUGAUUGAAACCAAUACCUAUGGUGCGAACCGGCUCAAGCUCGAGCGCUUCGGCCUCAGCGAUAGAGUUUUCG
rnacentral:misc_RNA from 1 species